rnacentral:tRNA from 1 species
UAGGCCUAAGAAGUUAACCUUCAAAUCCAAAUUUGCACUUUAGAAUUUUUAGGCCU